UAGGGAAUCUUCCGCAAUGGGCGAAAGCCUGACGGAGCAACGCCGCGUGAGUGAAGAAGGAUUUCGGUUCGUAAAGCUCUGUUGUUAGGGAAGAAUGAUUGUGUAGUAACUAUACACAGUAGAGACGGUACCUAACCAGAAAGCCACGGCUAACUACGUGCCAGCAGCCGCGGUAAUACGUAGGUGGCAAGCGUUGUCCGGAAUUAUUGGGCGUAAAGCGCGCGCAGGUGGUUUAAUAAGUCUGAUGUGAAAGCCCACGGCUCAACCGUGGAGGGUCAUUGGAAACUGUUAAACUUGAGUGCAGGAGAGAAAAGUGGAAUUCCUAGUGUAGCGGUGAAAUGCGUAGAGAUUAGGAGGAACACCAGUGGCGAAGGCGGCUUUUUGGCCUGUAACUGACACUGAGGCGCGAAAGCGUGGGGAGCAAACAGGAUUAGAUACCCUGGUAGUCCACGCCGUAACGAUGAGUGCUAAGUGUUGGUCUCAUAAGAGAUCAGUGCUGCAGCUAACGCAUUAAGCACUCCGCCUGNNAGUACGACCGCAAGGUU
rnacentral:rRNA from 1 species